GAUGAACGCUGGCGGCGUGCCUAAUACAUGCAAGUCGAGCGAACAGACGAGGAGCUUGCUCCUCUGACGUUAGCGGCGGACGUGUGAGUAACACGUGGAUAACCUACCUAUAAUACUGGUAUAACUUCGGGAAACCGGAUCUAAUACCGGAUAAUAUAUUGAACCGCAUGGUUCAAUAGUGAAAUACGGUUUUGCUGUCACUUAUAGAUGGAUCCGCGCCGCAUUAGAUAGUUGGUAAGGUAACGGCUUACCAAGGCAACGAGGCGUAGCCGACGUGAGAGGGGGAUAGGCCACACUGGAACUUAGCCACGGUCAAGAGUACUACGGGAGGCCGCAGUAGGGAAUCUGCCGCAAUGGGCGAAAGCAUGACGGAGCAACGCCGAGUGAGUGAUGACGGUCUUCGGAUCGUAAAACUCUGCUAUUAGGGAAGAACAAAUGUGUAAGUAAAUAUGCACGUCUUGACGGUACCUAAUAAGAAAGCCACGGCUAACUACGUG
rnacentral:rRNA from 1 species